rnacentral:rRNA from 1 species
UACGUAGGGACCGAGCGUUGUCCGGAUUCAUUGGGCGUAAAGAGCUCGUAGGCGGUCUGUCGCGUCGGCUGUGAAAACUCGGGGCUCAACCCCGAGCCUGCAGUCGAUACGGGCAGACUAGAGUUCGGUAGGGGAGACUGGAAUUCCUGGUGUAGCGGUGAAAUGCGCAGAUAUCAGGAGGAACACCGGUGGCGAAGGCGGGUCUCUGGGCCGAAAUUGACGCUGAGGAGCGAAAGCGUGGGGAGCAAACAGG